rnacentral:lncRNA from 1 species
GCAAAUACAACUUACUCAGACAAAAAAGGCUGUCAGCAGCAAGUCUAGGCAGAAGCCAGGAGGAGUUAGGAACAGACUAUAAGAAAUGGUUGGUCUGGAGGAAAAAGGGUAAAACUUAUGAGGGCCCUUGUGAAUUGAUGAAUAUGAAGACACUAAGAAAGCAGAAAUAGAACUGAGAAGAAUGAAAUAACUGUCUCUACCUUUCUCGAAUUGUCUAAUAUGGAAAGAAUGAAAGACAGCUAAUAAGCAACUCUCUGCAAGAAGACAUAUGGCUUAGGUUCUGCUGAGCUAUUGGUGAUUUGAUUCCAUGCAUAUGUAUUCACUACUGAGAUGGGAUCUUGCUAUGUGGCCCAGGCUGGCCUCAAACUCCUGGCCUCAAGAUAUUUCCCCCUGCCUUGGCCUCUCAAAGUGAAUCUACUUGGAGAGAGUCAAACACAGAAUCCCUUUGAAUUUAAUGGCCAUUCCAGGUGAUUUGAACAGCCAAAUAAGAAACAGGUCCUCUUCAAUGUACAAUCUGCCAAGUAUGAAGUCUGAAUGACCAUCAUUAUUAUGUAUUUAAUGUGCAUAGAAAAUCUAUCUGCAACCUUCCAGAGUGUACCAGAAGUUUGGAAUGUACAUUAUUAUUGGCUCCAUCUCAAACCACUCAUAAAUCAAAGAAAAUAGCAGUUCCAGAGGAAUCAUCAUAGAGGCUUCUAGGCCCCCAUGCUGUGUGAACCUGGUGAGAAAGGGAAGUCUGCUCUCACUGGACACUGGAACUGUUUGUCUCUGUCUCUGCUGUACUUUCCCUGCCUCUACCUCACUUAGUAAAGAAAUCAUCUUUGCUUGAUAACUAAAACAACCAAUAAGGCUGAGAAAGGGGAAAACCCACAUCUGGAUUUAAAUACAAGGUAUUGGGCCAGCUGCUGGGGAUUAAACUUUGAACAAAACAGAUAGAAUCUAUGUCCUCAUGGGAGUGGCUAAUGGGAGAGUCGGAACAAAAAAAUAGCCAAGGAUAAUCCAGCAAAUGAUUUGGUGAAUGCUAUCAAAGAGAGAAAUACACAUGCUCUGGGAACACCAAACAGAGUCUCCCUCUCUGACCCAGGCUGGAGUGCCGUGGUAUGAUCUCGGCUCACUGCAACUUCUGCCUCCCAGCUUCAAGCAAUUCUCCUGUCUUAGCUUCCCAAGUAGCUGGGAUUACAGGCGUGCACCACCACACCAGGCUAAUUUUGUAUUUUUAGUAGAGACGGGGUUUUGCCAUGUUGGCCAGGCUGGUCUCGAACCCCUGACCUCAGGUGAUCUGCCCACCUCAACCUCCCAAAGUGCUGGGAUUACAGGUGUGAGCCACUGCAUCUGGCCUCAUAUAUUUUACUAUAACAAAUCAGUGUAGGCCAAAUAAAGUUAGAAAUGGAAGCUAAUGGAAAUAAAGAAUAGGCUUUCCUGUUAGUAUCUAUAGGUGUGUGUGUGUGUGUUCGUUAUUUAGGGAAAGAAACAGGGAACUUGGGGCAUAUAAUAUUUAUGUUCCCUUAGCUUAGGCAUAUAUGGUAUAUUUAGUUACUUAAUUAAUUUUUUAUUUAGAAGUUAUGUAUAGAGCAUUUUUCCUAGGCCAGUGGGGGAUUAAACCAGAAAUAUAAGAAGUGUCUGCCUUCUGGAAGCUUGUGAUCUAGUUAGGGGUAUCACAAGUGCACAGCGUUCACCAGUGGCAGAGAAGCAUGUGAUGAGUACCCAGAGCUUAUAUUGAGAAUAAGGUAUACAAGAAUUUAGAGGAGGCCAAUGUUGAUUUUCACCAAGAGUAUGGGACAGAGAGACAAGACAGGGUUGGUCAUCUAGUUCUGUGCACUGAAUAUAAUUUUGCAGGUUUAGGAGUGUUUGAAAACUACAAGGAAGAUAGAAUCUUGGUCUUGUUCUCCAGCAUGCCCUUUCUUGAACUCACCAGGGUAAUGCUGCAUCUUUUCAGAAAUGCCUCUGGCUUCUCAAAGCAACUUUCAUCCUGGAGAGGAACAAUUAGUCUUUGUCUUUCAUUAGUAAAAGAUUUAACGGCUCAGAAGGAGAAGCUAGUGGUGACUUUUCAAUCACCCCUUCUACCUCCCAG